CUUACUCUGCGAUGUUCGGGAAAUUGAUUAGCGUUUUCCCUUACUCUAUAUAAUUCGGAGGCCAAUCAGCGCAGGGCGGCUGCCAAGCCGUAAAUCGGAAGGCAAAUGCCAAGCCGGAAGUCUCCACUUUUACCACUUGAAGGUAAAAGCUAUCGAAUGUUACCGGCAUUAGCGGAGAGGAG
rnacentral:other from 1 species